rnacentral:rRNA from 1 species
AUCGACCGAUAGUGAACCAGUACCGUGAGGGAAAGGCGAAAAGAACCCCGGGAGGGGAGUGAAAUAGAAUCUGAAACCGCAUACAUACAAACAGUAGGAGCCCGCGAGGGUGACUGCGUACCUUUUGCAUAAUGGGUCAGCGACUUACGUUCAGUAGCGAGCUUAACCGAGUAGGGGAGGCGUAGCGAAAGCGAGUUCGAAUAGAGCGGACAGUUGCUGGGCGUAGACCCGAAACCGGAUGAUCUAUCCAUGACCAGGUUGAAGUUGUGGUAACACACAAUGGAGGACCGAACCGACUAGUGUUGCAAAAUUAGCGGAUGAGUUGUGGAUAGGGGUGAAAGGCUAAACAAAUCCGGAGAUAGCUGGUUCUCCCCGAAAACUAUUGAGGUAGUGCCUCGCGUAUCACUCCAGGGGGUAGAGCACUGUUAUGGCUAGGGGGACAUGGCGUCUUACCAAACCAUGGCAAACUCCGAAUACUUGGAAGUGUGAGCGCGGGAGACAGAGCACCGGGUGCUAACGUCCGGACUCAAAAGGGAAACAACCCAGACCGCCGGCUAAGGUCCCUAAUAUUUGCUAAGUGGAAAACGAAGUGGAAAGGCUAAGACAGUCAGGAAGUUGGCUUAGAAGCAGCCAUCCUUUAAAGAAAGCGUAAUAGCUCACUGAUCGAGUCUUUCUGCGCGGAAGAUGUAACGGGGCUAAGCAAGUAACCGAAGCCGCGGAUUCAUACGUAAGUAUGAGUGGUAGGGGAGCGUUCUGUAAGCCUGCGAAGGUGUGUUGAGAAGCAUGCUGGAGGUAUCAGAAGUGCGAAUGCUGACAUGAGUAACGUUAAAGCGGGUGAAAAGCCCGCUCGCCGUAAGCCCAAGGUUUCCUGCUCUACGUUCAUCGGAGCAGGGUGAGUCGGCCCCUAAGGCCAGGCUGAGAAGCGUAGUCGAUGGGAACAAGGUUAAUAUUCCUAGACCAUUGUCAAGUAUGCGAUGGGGGGACGGAGUGUGAAAGAUGAUCCGGGUGUUGGAUAUCCCGGUUUGUGAGAGUAGAAGGAAGGCAGGCAAAUCCGCCUUCGAAUCUUCGAGUCAAAACAUCGAUUCUCCACGUGAGAAGAAGUCAUCGGAAGUGCUUCCAAGAAAAGCCUCUAAGUGGUAGCUUGACAAGACCGUACCGCAAACCGACACUGGUGGGCGAGUUGAAUAUACUAAGGCGCUUGAGAGAACUCGGGAGAAGGAACUCGGCAAAUUGACACCGUAACUUCGGAAGAAGGUGUGCCUUUGUAGCGUGAGAGAAGAAACAUCUUAAGCGUGAAGAGGCCUCAGAGAAUAGGUGGCUGCAACUGUUUACUAAAAACAUAGCACUCUGCAAAGAUGAAAGUCGACGUAUAGGGUGUGAUGCCUGCCCGGUGCUGGAAGAUUAAUUGAUGGGGUGCAAGCUCCUGAUCGAAGUCCCAGUAAACGGCGGCCGUAACUAUAACGGUCCUAAGGUAGCGAAAUUCCUUGUC